UCCUACGGGAGGCAGCAGUGGGGAAUAUUGGACAAUGGGCGCAAACCUGAUCCAGCCAUGCCGCGUGAGUGAUGACGGCCCUAGGGUUGUAAAGCUCUUUCGACGGGGACGAUAAUGACGGUACCCGUAGAAGAAGCCCCGGCUAACUUCGUGCCAGCAGCCGCGGUAAUACGAAGGGGGCAAGCGUUGUUCGGAAUCACUGGGCGUAAAGGGCGCGUAGGCGGACAUUUAAGUCAGGGGUGAAAUCCCGGGGCUCAACCCCGGAACUGCCCUUGAUACUGGGUGUCUUGAGACCGGAAGAGGCAAGUGGAACUGCGAGUGUAGAGGUGAAAUUCGUAGAUAUUCGCAAGAACACCAGUGGCGAAGGCGGCUUGCUGGUCCGGAUCUGACGCUGAGGCGCGAAAGCGUGGGGAGCAAACAGGAUUAGAUACCCCUGUAGUCU
rnacentral:rRNA from 1 species